UCCCAUUCCUCAAAUCAGCAUCUUAUUGACGUAUGCAUGUCCGUUUUACGAUGUCAAUUGUACAUCAUUGUUCAGUAUUUUUUCCUUUUCAAUUGACACCGCAAAAGCUGCUGCAUAGUGUCAGAAAGUACUGUUUAAUUAAACCACAGUGACAGGAAAAGCCACCUACAAACAAAAAACUUAAUAAACCCACAAGCAUGAGAACUAUACUCUCUCACAGACAGUGAAGGAGAUCAACCCUUUGAGGUCAGGGCUACAAGGACACAGUGGACAGAACUUUUGUCCAUGGCAGACAGUAUUCAAACGUAAAUUGUAAGAAGCACAGGAAGUGUAUGCAGAACAGAGCUUGUGAGACUGUAGCAAGGAGAACAAGAGAAGGAGGAGGAGAAAGUAAUAACAUAGGUAAGAGGAAUAAGUAAGGUGAGAAAGAACCACUGGGAAAAGAGAAUACACAUAACCACCCAGUCUUUUGUUUUAACUAAACUAAGCCUCCCAGUCUCACUGAAGAUAUCUGAGACUUUCAUGGACUUAGCAGUACAGUAAGCACUUAAUCAAUUAAAGAACUAAGAUAAUUUGCUAAACAUCCCACCCUUUUGAUAUGUGAUUUGAACUCAAGUUCUCUGUAAAAGCACUUGUUAACAGUUGUCUGCUCUUUUCACUGUCCUAUAGCUACCUUUCUUUUCUGUGCCAGCCCAGAACCUUGAGUAUUUGGUAAUUAAGAAGAGUAUUUCUUGCCUUGAACUCCAAAGCUGAAAAGCCAAAAAUCUUUUUCAUUUCAGAAGUGUAAAGAUGCAAGAAAAUACAAAUUGCACAAAGAAUCUAGGUAACCAAAUAUUAUGUACUAUUCAAAUCUCCCAAUGAUCAGUAGUAUAUGUUGUUUGCAUCUUACUAAAAACCUCAGCACAUCUCUUCUACUCUUGCAUAACUCCCUACAACUAUGGUUUCCCUACUACUACUGUAUCCUACACAUUCAUUUGAAUUUUAUCUUCAGAAAAUUUUCAGAACUCUCUUCUUCAAACUGAUCACACUAAUCCCAGAGAGUUGUCAGAACCCCAUGGCACAAGUCAGUAUAAAAAUACAGUCAAAAACUCAUAAGAUUACCUUGUAAGUAAACAGGCAGAUAUCCAGACAAAAUGAGGCCUGCUGAAAAUGAUUUUAUGAGAUAUAGUUGCAUAAGAUGUAUCAUAUCAAAUU
ensembl:lncRNA